UUGUACUGCAGGGACCGGGAGCACUCUAAAAGGUUUUUCUUGCCGCCUGGUCUAACUCUGGACAAACACAGCUGCGACGCAUCUUCAGUCCUGCUUACACGUGUUCACGCAGAUAUGUCAGGGUUCUAUACCUGUGAAGUAACGACUGAGGAACUAUUUGAAACAGUCUCUAGAAAACAGUAUCUUCAGGUUGUACGUGAGUAU